ACAUGCAAGUCGAACGGUAACAGGAAGAAGCUUGCUUCUUUGCUGACGAGUGGCGGACGGGUGAGUAAUGUCUGGGAAACUGCCUGAUGGAGGGGGAUAACUACUGGAAACGGUAGCUAAUACCGCAUAACGUCGCAAGACCAAAGAGGGGGACCUUCGGGCCUCUUGCCAUCGGAUGUGCCCAGAUGGGAUUAGCUAGUAGGUGGGGUAAAGGCUCACCUAGGCGACGAUCCCUAGCUGGUCUGAGAGGAUGACCAGCCACACUGGAACUGAGACACGGUCCAGACUCCUACGGGAGGCAGCAGUGGGGAAUAUUGCACAAUGGGCGCAAGCCUGAUGCAGCCAUGCCGCGUGUAUGAAGAAGGCCUUCGGGUUGUAAAGUACUUUCAGCGGGGAGGAAGGGAGUAAAGUUAAUACCUUUGCUCAUUGACGUUACCCGCAGAAGAAGCACCGGCUAACUCCGUGCCAGCAGCCGCGGUAAUACGGAGGGUGCAAGCGUUAAUCGGAAUUACUGGGCGUAAAGCGCACGCAGGCGGUUUGUUAAGUCAGAUGUGAAAUCCCCGGGCUCAACCUGGGAACUGCAUCUGAUACUGGCAAGCUUGAGUCUCGUAGAGGGGGGUAGAAUUCCAGGUGUAGCGGUGAAAUGCGUAGAGAUCUGGAGGAAUACCGGUGGCGAAGGCGGCCCCCUGGACGAAGACUGACGCUCAGGUGC
rnacentral:rRNA from 1 species